UCGUAAUUAUGCGGCUAAUUCCGUAAUACAAACAUUUAGCAAUAAUCCGUUCGUCCUAAAAAGAUAGUUUUAGAUUUAUCUAGAUACAUCUCUAGAUACAUAUGUAUCUAGACACAUUUUGUCUAGAUACAGAUGACCAUACAAGUUUUCUUGGCUAAGCUAGCUGGCCAUACAAGUUUCCUUCUCCGCUAAGCAAGCUUACCCUACAAGCAAAUUUCACUACUAAAAAACCUUGUCAUGCAAGUUUGCUUCACUACUAAGGAAACUUGUGAUGCAAGCUCCUUCUGCUCCAAGAUAUCUCAUAGAUAAGCUUUGAGAGAUGAAGUAAUUUGGUGACCAAGGAAUGUAGCAAACUUAUGAAGCAAGAUUUCUUAUGGGCUAAGGAAUGGAUGGCUUUAUAUGGUCUCCUUUUUGGGAGCGUUUGAUAAAUAAAUAAAAACACAAGGGUGUCGAGUAGCUUACUUGAUCUUGUACACAAAUCUACUAAAGAUUAAUGACCAAGAUCUCCCAAGUUUCUCCCAGUAUAUGUUGUGUUCAUUGAUCUGCUAAUCAUGAUUGUGCAAUGGGUUCUUUUGUGUUAUUGAAUGUCAUAAUUGGCAAGUGUGGUCAAGCGACUCUUGUGUCAGCGCCAAAGUUUCACAACUGGAACUCUCAUGUAUACUAUGGGCAAGCUUCUUAUAUCUCAAGAGAAAACCAUCAUGAUAUCUGCUCCAAGAAACAUAAGUUGUGGGCAAAAUGUACUAAAAGGUAAUGUAAAUAUAUUUAAUUAAUUUCAUUUGUACAUUCCUCUACGUUUUUCUUGAAAAAAUUAAGUCAUCAUGUAGGUUACAGACCCGUGGUCUUAGAUGACGACAUGAUGUAUUUUUGAAUUUGGAAAUGCAGGACUCCUUUUGCAAGUAAUCCAGUCCUUUGUUUUAUUAUUGUAGUAAGCAUAAUUGUUACCUUUUCGUAUUUAUACGAUUGUCUUCUAUUAAAUCUGAUAAUCUAAACGAAAAGUUAUAAAACAUACUCUUAUUUCUAAUUUGGAACAUUAUCGAUUUAAAAUUUAUGCGAUGUUAAAGGGAUACUGUUAAAGGGGUGCAUCAGGGUAACUUUAGCUCCAGCUCCACCCCUGUCUAGAUACAGAUGACCAUACAAGUUUUCUUGGCUAAGCUAGCUUGCCAUACAAGUUUCCUUCUCCGCUAAGCAAGCUUACCCUACAAGCAAAUUUCACUACUAAAAAACUUGUCAUGCAAGUUUGCUUCACUACUAAGAAACUUGCGAUGCAAGUUCCUUCCGCUCCCGGAUAUCUCAUAGAUAAACUUUGAGAGAUGAAGUAACUUGGUGACUAAGGAGUGUAGCAAACUUAUGAAGCAAGAUUUCUUAUGGGCUAAGGAAUGGAUGGCUAUAUAUGGUCUCCUUUGGGAGAGUUUGAUAAAUAAAUAAAAACACAAGGGUGUCGAGUAGCUCACUUGAGCUUGUACACAAAUCCACUAAAGAUUAAUGACCAAGAGCUUGGAGUUUCUCCCCGUACAUGUUGUGUUCGUUGGUAUGCUAAUCAUGAUUGUGCAAUGAGUUCUUCUGUGUUAUUGAAUAUCUUGAUUGGCAAGUGUGAUCAAGCGACUCUGGUGCCAGCCCCAAAGUUUCACAACUAGAACGAGGUGUGAACCUCGGAUAAUGUAUAACUCAGAUGAUAUAUUGUAUUUUGGCUCAUCUAUUUUUUGUCUGCUUUUUUGUUGCGGAAAUUGAGAGCAUUUUAUUAAAUAACGAUGGUCAUGGAGUCAUCACCCAUGAGGCUACUGACCAAGAAGGAAGGAGCUAAGUUAGGUCAACCCCCACUCUGCUGAAGCGAGCAAGAAUGCUCCGCACACAAUUGGGCUGGGAGAUUGGCAGCUCUGUUAACAUGUUGAAUUACAAACGAAUUAGCUGCAAGAGGGGCCUGCAACAAUACGACCGAUCCUUCCCUACCUCUUCCUUCUCGUCACAGACAUUCUCCAUCGGUUCAUUGCGCGGGAUCCACUACCCCGACAGCCCCUAGCUGACGACGCCUCAUGUCCCCUGAGUCAAUACAGGAUGACACGCUCAUCAUCACGAGAGCUAGCGUCGAGGCAACGACUUGGAUGAAGGCGAUCAUGGACAUGUUCUCCAACGCCAUCGUGCCCAUGAUCAAUUUCAGCAAGUACGGUGCCAUGGUCCAGGGGUGCCACUGGACACCGUAACUCAACCCAUCAGGCCGACGUAGGCCCCCCAUGCUAAUAUUGGGCCCCAAACUCUAGCCUGGCUUAUGGGCUCUCCAAGAAGAAGGAUAUCGGCAUUUGUGUCAUACAAGUCAAGGAGACCGGACCGACAUUGGACUCCUCCAAUCACCAUAGAUCGCUUAGGACUCUAUAGCCCUAAUCAUGUUGCUGAUAGCCGAGCAAAGGCUACUUUCCAUUCUAGAACAUCAUCUUUUUGCAAUUCAAAUCCCCGAACUUUAUUUCAUCACAACUUGUAAAUAACGUUGCUAUCAUACAGUGAAUAAAGUCCUAUUCCUAUAAACGAAAAUAGCUAAUUGACACCAUUUACACAUGUUGUACAAAAUUAUUUAUUUAUUAUUGGGAAAGACCACGGAUUUUUUUAACAGAUGAAAGACCAUGAAUUGACUAUUAUUUAUUUGCGUCAUUGGAAAAUUUUGCUGUGCCGAAGGUUUUGCAAGCGUUCAAGAAAAAGAAAGAACCGGACAUAAUACAGGAAGAGUUUUCAAAAUUUCUAUUGCCGUUUAGUUAAACCUUUUUUCACUCACUGGAUGUGAAUGCUCGCGCUGAGUUACCCAUGAGAGCCAUCAUCACUAGUUCACUACGUACAAAAACAAGGUGAAAGUUCCCAUAUACAGUUAGCUGCUCAAACAAACAUAGGUAAACUAUAUAUCCUAUCCAAAGUAACACUGUUUCACAUCGGUAAAUACACCGGCUCAUUUGCACAUUUUUGUUGAAACUAUCAUGAGGGAAAGGCUCCCCACCUGAAUAAAUUUUUAUUUUUUGUUUUUGUUUUUACAAACUAGACAAGGCGAGAAGUAAAGAA